rnacentral:tRNA from 1 species
UCUCCCGUGGCGCAAUUGGCUAGCGCGUCUGACUGUUAAUCAGGAGGUUGACAGUUCAAGCCUGUCCGGGGGAG